CCUACGGGAGGCAGCAGUGGGGAAUUUUGGACAAUGGGCGCAAGCCUGAUCCAGCAAUGCCGCGUGAGUGAAGAAGGCCUUCGGGUUGUAAAGCUCUUUUGUCAGGGAAGAAACGGUGGGGGCUAAUAUCUCCCACUAAUGACGGUACCUGAAGAAUAAGCACCGGCUAACUACGUGCCAGCAGCCGCGGUAAUACGUAGGGUGCAAGCGUUAAUCGGAAUUACUGGGCGUAAAGCGUGCGCAGGCGGUUUUAGUAAGUUUGUCGUGAAAUCCCCGGGCUCAACCUGGGAAUGGCGAUGAAGACUGCAAGGCUAGAAUCUGGCAGAGGGGGGUAGAAUUCCACGUGUAGCAGUGAAAUGCGUAGAGAUGUGGAGGAACACCGAUGGCGAAGGCAGCCCCCUGGGUCAAGAUUGACGCUCAUGCACGAAAGCGUGGGGAGCAAACAGGAUUAGAUACCCUGGUAGUCCACGCCCUAAACGAUGUCUACUAGUUGUCGGGUUUUAAUAACUUGGUAACGCAGCUAACGCGUGAAGUAGACCGCCUGGGGAUACGGUCGCAAGNUUAAAACUCAAAGAUAGUACGACGNGNGAGAGCGACGAGACGACGAGAGGAGGAG
rnacentral:rRNA from 1 species